AGUGAACGCUGGCGGUAGGCCUAACACAUGCAAGUCGAACGGCAGCACAGUAAGAGCUUGCUCUUACGGGUGGCGAGUGGCGGACGGGUGAGGAAUACAUCGGAAUCUACUUUUUCGUGGGGGAUAACGUAGGGAAACUUACGCUAAUACCGCAUACGACCUACGGGUGAAAGCAGGGGAUCUUCGGACCUUGCGCGAUUGAAUGAGCCGAUGUCGGAUUAGCUAGUUGGCGGGGUAAAGGCCCACCAAGGCGACGAUCCGUAGCUGGUCUGAGAGGAUGAAGCGGCAAAACUGGAACUGAAAAAGGGUCCAAAUCCUAAGGGAGGCAGGAAGUGGGAAAUUUGGAAAAAGGGCGGAAGCCUGAACCAAGCAUACCGGGGGGGGGAAGAAGGGCUUCGGGUUUGUAAGGCCUUUUGUUGGGGAAGAAAAGCAGCAGGUUAAUACCCCGCUGUUCUGACGGUACCCAAAGAAUAAGCACCGGCUAACUUCGUG
rnacentral:rRNA from 1 species